UUGAAGCCAAGAGGCCAUUUCAUCCUCUUGUAUAAACAGUGGAGAUGAAGCUGCUGCCGUUUCUUCUACGGCGGAUUGCUCGGAAAAAAGGGCCUUAAGGAGACAAGAAUAUUGGUAUCUAUCUAUCCAUAUAUCUGAAUAAUUCAAUAGUAUUUAAAUAAUAAUAACCCCAUAUUUGGAUAAAUGUGUGAUUUCCAUAUUAAGUAUUUUAUGUUACUAAUGAUUGGGACAAUACAGUAUAACAAGUGCCAAUUAGGACAUCAUUAGAAUAUCUUCGUACCUAUUCUUAUUAUUUUAAAAAGAAAAUCUAAGUUAAUUAGUUCAAUCUUAAAAAAUAAAGCUAAUGAUUAGACAUGUGCUUAAUAUCAUUAUCUCUAAUAUAAGAAUACAAGGGCGUGGAGGACAUAGAAAAGGAUAAAAAAAAAUUGUAGAUACCAAUGUGUUGUGUUGGUGUUUGUUAAUGUUAGUAGUCGUGGUAUUACUCUUGUAGUUUUUUAUUUUUCGAUUUUUAUUACUAUAUAUUGUUUUUUAUAUUACAAUUA